AACUUUCAAACAAUGGAUCUCUUGGCUCUCGCAUCGAUGAAGAACGCAGCGAAAUGCGAUAAGUAAUAUGAAUUGCAGAAUUCCGUGAAUCAUCAAAUUUUUGAACGCAAAUUGCACUUCUUGGUAUUCCGAGGAGUACACAUGCUUGAGGGUCAGUU
rnacentral:rRNA from 1 species